rnacentral:rRNA from 1 species
AUGUGGGCUAAUGGGAGCAGCAGGAUGCAGUACAAGUUCUUUGGUGACGUGGUCACAUUCGACACCACAUACAGGACAAAUCUGUACGACAUGCCAUUCGGUCUAUUUGUUGGAGUUAACAAUCACUAUCAGAGUAUCAUCCUGGCAGGAGUGUUGAUGCGCGACGAGCAGGAAGAGAGCUUCGAAUGGCGUGUUUUCAGAAUUCAUUCGCAUGAUGGGCGGACCUGCACCAAAAACAAUACUAACAGACCAAUGCAGAGCAAUGGAGGUUGCGAUCAAGAAAAUUUAUCCAAACACUGUCCACCGUUGGUGCAAGUGGCAUGUUCUGAAGAAGGCGAAGGAAACACUGGGGCUGUUUUACACGAAAAAGUGUGA